CGCCCGAUUAUAAUCGGAGGGCCCGAGUAGCCCCUAAACUAAUCUACCUGCUAUAUAAUCAGACCAAACCCUAUUUUCUAGGGAUCCUCCCCUGUCCCAUCCAUCUCACCGCCGCCGCCACUGUUCUCUCGGGAUCCAUCCCGAGCCAACCGCCGUCCCUCCUGCCCGAUCCAUCCAUCCAGCGCUCCCCACUGCUCCUCCUCGAUCUAGGUGCCCGUGCCCCCGAUCCAAACUCCCUCUCGAGCUCUCCCUGCCAACUAGUGCCUCCCCUGGAUCCCGUCGUCUUCACGUGCCACGCCGGAGUUCCACCUCGCCGGAGCACAGGACCCCUCUGCCGCCGCGCCAUGGAUGGCUGCAGCCCAAGGCGCGUCCUCGCCGGGUCUCUCGCGUGCCCGAGCUCCAGCUUGCCUGUCCGUCUCCUCGUCCUCGUGGCCGAAGCAACCGAACAGGAGGCCGAGCGCCCAAGCCCAGCAGCCGUGCGCCUCCUCCCUCGACCAGCCGGAGCUUCUUCCAGCCUCGCGCGCCCGAGCCCCCGAGCUCCUCUGGUCGCGCACGAGCUUCGUGACCCCCCAACGGCCACUUCAUCAGCCUCGUCGCCGUCACGAGAACUAGCUGCCGCCAACAUCGCCGGAGAUGGACCCCCGACGCCCAGAUCCGCUCGCCUUCACUGCCUCGGCGCCGUCCCUGUCGCCGUCGUCUUCAUCGGUUCCUGACGAGGACGGCGCCCCUCCAGUUCGUCUCGAGCGCCAUUCUUUGCCCGAUCUGGUCCCCGUUGACCGCGAGCAUUGGCUGGGUCACAGCUGCGCAGGCCCUUCGCCCGCGAGCCCAGCUCCGCGUCCCUGCAGGCCCAAUGUGAGCCACAGCCCAGUCCCUGGCCCAGCAGUGUGCUAACUCAGCCCGUGUUGUGUUUUUUUCCUCUGGACGAAUUUG